rnacentral:rRNA from 1 species
GUUUGCCUACGGGGCGCAGCAGUAGGGAAUCUUCCACAAUGGACGAAAGUCUGAUGGAGCAACGCCGCGUGAGUGAAGAAGGGUUUCGGCUCGUAAAGCUCUGUUGGUAGGGAAGAAAGAUAGAGGUAGUAACUGGCCUUUAUUUGACGGGAAUUACUUAGAAAGUCACGGCUAACUACGUGCCAGCAGCCGCGGGAAUACGUAGGUGGCAAGCGUUGUCCGGAUUUAUUGGGCGUAAA